CCUACGGGUGGCAGCAGUGAGGAAUAUUGGUCAAUGGGCGAGAGCCUGAACCAGCCAAGUCGCGUGAGGGAAGACGGUCCUAUGGAUUGUAAACCUCUUUUGCCGGGGAGCAAAAAGCGGUACGUGUACCGCAUCGAGAGUACCCGGAGAAAAAGCAUCGGCUAACUCCGUGCCAGCAGCCGCGGUAAUACGGAGGAUGCGACCGUUAUCCGGAGUUAUUGGGGUUAAAGGGUGCGCAGGUGGCUAGUUAAGUCAGCGGUAAAAUUUCGGGGCUCAACCCCGACAAGCCGUUGAAACUGGCUGGCUAGAGGGGGCGAGAAGUAUGCGGAAUGCGUGGUGUAGCGGUGAAAUGCAUAGAUAUCACGCAGAACUCCGAUUGCGAAGGCAGCAUACCGGCGCCCAACUGACGCUCAGGCACGAAAGCGUGGGUAUCGAACAGGAUUAGAUACCCGGGUAGUC
rnacentral:rRNA from 1 species